CGAUAACCAGAAGGCCUACGCACUAAAGUCUUUCGAGGAUGGGAAGACCAUAGCUCAGGUGGCCGCUAACAUGGUCAGAGUCACCUCAAGUCCUUUGCUUUUGAACAUGCCUAAAAGCCCUCUUCAAUUUGCGACUUCGAGUUCUUAUCGGGCCCUAGUAGUCAUUCCAAUAACUUUUGUGCCCCUCAAUACUCCUUUAUUAACAUUGAAAAAUCUGCCACAACGCAAAAGGAACUUAAUGAAAGGAGGCGUGAAAGUAAAGACUGUCGGGGUCCACAAGCACUCUAUCCUACCACCAUGCGAGCUGACUAAAGCGUCUAGACCUGCUCCUUCAUAAGUUCAACAUCCUAUUUCCUUGGUAAAUGAGAUCUCAGAAAGCUUGGACAGUACUCGUGUAAAGAGGAAGAGGGUUCAAUCAUCUUCAGGGAAGCUACAGCCCCUCUUCUAGUGGUCCUUAUAGACAAGAAGAAGUCUGGUAGGGCUACUAUCCCUAAGCAAAGGUCUGCCAAAGGCAAAGGGACUGUGCUUAGCGGUCCAAAUGAAUUCUUGGGGUCUUAGUAUGGAUCAAGCUACAGGGUUGCUGGACACAAACUACACAGAAGAAUCGCCUCCCCAAUCGCUGCUGAGUUUAUAACGAAUCAGGCAUUCAAAGGAAGUCUAAGGCAUAGGAGUCGAUUAGACGAGUUUGGAAAGCAAGAAAACCAAGAGAAGCUGCUGCAUCACAGUACACGGGUUGUGUAAGAAUGAAGCCAAACCCGUGUAACCCCUCUGGCAAGAGAAGAUUGAAGAAAAUAUGAGGAGCCACAGUACACGAGUUAGAUCUCACAAUGCCCCCAUGUAACUCUCUAGAAAUCUAAAUCUGAAAAGCUAAAGAAAGGAAGACAAUACACAUGCUGUGUACUUGACCCCAUGUAAACUUAAAGACCCCCAUGUAACUUUCUGUCUCUCACCUGAACAAAGCCAAAUUCUAUCCAAAAACUUACCAUGUAGUGCCACACAGGUCAUGUACAUUGUAGCAGGCAAAUUUCUGAUACGACUCCAAUUCCAUUUCUCGCAUUCUGAACAGACUUCUAAGGCUCUUGGGACUCUAAAACAUGACUCUAAGGCAUCUGAUAUAAAUAUCAGAAGACUGGACUAAGGAGAGGAGACCCUUGACAGAAGUCUUUCAAUUUAGAAUUAGUUUUAGCUUUGUAAACCCUAGUUUUCUAAACUAUUUGAAGAAAAGCGGUAUCAGCACUAAGGAGAAGGGCUCUCAGCUGAAGUUCCAAAAGAUCAAGGCUGCAGAAUCCUUGUUCUGGGUUCUUUUGUUUUAUUUCCUCAAAUCGCUUUAUGUUCUUUUAUUUUAAUUUCAAUAUGUUUGUUAAACUCACCAUGAAUGAGUAGUUUUUUUAAUUCUGGAAUUAGGAGAGUAGCACUUUUAAUUUUUGUUAUGGAUACAUACUAAGUUUAUUUAA